AGCGAACGCUGGCGGCAGGCCUAAUACAUGCAAGUCGAGCGCACCUUCGGGUGAGCGGCGGACGGGUGAGUAACGCGUGGGAAUGUGCCCUUUGGUACGGAACAACUGAGGGAAACUUCAGCUAAUACCGUAUGUGCCCUUCGGGGGAAAGGAUUUAUUGCCAUUGGAGCAGCCCGCGUUGGAUUAGGUAGUUGGUGGGGUAAAGGCCCACCAAGCCGACGAUCCAUAGCUGGUCUGAGAGGAUGAUCAGCCACACUGGGACUGAGACACGGCCCAGACUCCUACGGGAGGCAGCAGUAGGGAAUCUUGGACAAUGGGCGCAAGCCUGAUCCAGCCAUGCCGCGUGGGUGAAGAAGGCC
rnacentral:rRNA from 1 species